rnacentral:rRNA from 1 species
AGUUGUCCCACCUGAUUCCAUCCCGAACUCAGAAGUGAAAAGCUGUAACGCCGAUGGUAGUGUGGGGCUUCCCCAUGUGAGAGUAGAGCAUCGUCGGGG